rnacentral:rRNA from 1 species
GAGAAACGGACUACUACAUCUAAGGAAGGCAGCAGGCGCGUAAAUUACCCAAUCCUAAAUACAGGGAGGUAGUGACAAGAUAUAACAACGCGAUUUAAAUGUCGCGAUUGUAGUGAGGGUAUUCUAAAAUAGCUUCGAGUACGAUUGGAGGGCAAGUCUGGUGCCAGCAGCCGCGGUAAUUCCAGCUCCAAUAGCGUAUAUUAAAGUUGCUGCAGUUAAAAAGCUCGUAGUUGAACUUCAUGAGCAGUAGGUAGCUUACUACCUGCUCUCUACCAGUCUUUCGACUGUUACUGUGAGAAAAUUAGAGUGUUUCAAGCAGGCUAUUGCAGGAAUACAUUAGCAUGGAAUAACGAAUGUACCUACAAUUUGGUUAAUUGUAGAUUACUAUUAAUAGGGACAGUUGGGG